GCCAGACUCCUACGGGAGGCAGCAGUGGGGAAUAUUGCACAAUGGGGGAAACCCUGAUGCAGCGACGCCGCGUGAGUGAAGAAGUAUUUCGGUAUGUAAAGCUCUAUCAGCAGGGAAGAAAAUGACGGUACCUGAUUAAGAAGCCCCGGCUAACUACGUGCCAGCGGCCGCGGUAAUACGUAGGGGGCAAGCGUUAUCCGGAUUUACUGGGUGUAAAGGGAGCGUAGACGGCAGCGCAAGUCUGAAGUGAAAUGCCGGGGCUUAACCCCGGAACUGCUUUGGAAACUGUGCGGCUGGAGUGCAGGAGGGGUAAGCGGAAUUCCUAGUGUAGCGGUGAAAUGCGUAGAUAUUAGGAGGAACACCGGUGGCGAAGGCGGCUUACUGGACUGUAACUGACGUUGAGGCUCGAAGGCCAGGGGAGCGAAAGGGAUUAGAUACCCCGGUA
rnacentral:rRNA from 1 species